rnacentral:rRNA from 1 species
UAUCUCUGUAGAGUCUGCAUAUCAAUAAGCGGAGGAAAAGAAACUAACAAGGAUUCCCUUAGUAACGGCGAGUGAAGCGGGAAGAGCUCAAAUUUGAAAUCUUCAAGGUUCUACCUUGACGAAUUGUAGUUUAAAGAAGUGUUUUCUGUUAGAUGAGUAGCAAAAGUUCCUUGGGAUGGGACAUCAUAGAGGGUGAGAAUCCCGUAUUUGGUUAUUCAUUCUAGCUUUGUGAUACACUUUCAAAGAGUCGGAUUGUUUGGGAAUGCAGUCCAAAAUGGGUGGUAAAUUUCAUCUAAAGCUAAAUAUUGGCGAGAGACCGAUAGCGAACAAGUACCGUGAGGGAAAGAUGAAAAGAACUUUGAAAAGAGAGUUAAACAGUACGUGAAAUUGUCAAAAGGGAAGCGUUUGGCACCAGUGUUGUUUUUCCGAAAAUCAAUUACGAAUGGCUUGAUUUUGUGUUGUAUUGACCUUAUCAGCUUUCUGCACUUUUUUCGAGUCUUUCUUAAUGCACUUUUUCGGUUAACAAGUCAACAUCAAUUUCUUUUGUUGUAAAAGAGUAUUCGGAAGGUGGCUUUCUUUUCGGAGAAAGUGUUUAUAGCCCUAUACUUCUACAAUCGGAGAGAUUGAGGUCUGCAGCGUAGAUCCUUCGGGGUUAGAUACACUUUGUGCUAAGUUGUAGCUUUUCAUAGACAACUUGUUGACUAUGUUUAGUCAUGCGGCUUACUCGCUUAUGCUAUUUUACCUACGCUUAGGAUGUUGACUGAUAUGUAGUCGUA